AGAUUGAACGCUGGCGGAAUGCUUUACACAUGCAAGUCGAACGGCAGCACGGGGGCAACCCUGGUGGCGAGUGGCGAACGGGUGAGUAAUACAUCGGAACGUGCCCAGUCGUGGGGGAUAACGUAGCGAAAGCUACGCUAAUACCGCAUACGAUCUAUGGAUGAAAGCGGGGGAUCGCAAGACCUCGCGCGAUUGGAGCGGCCGAUGGCAGAUUAGGUAGUUGGUGGGGUAAAGGCUCACCAAGCCUGCGAUCUGUAGCUGGUCUGAGAGGACGACCAGCCACACUGGGACUGAGACACGGCCCAGACU
rnacentral:rRNA from 1 species